UACGUAGGUGGCAAGCGUUGUCCGGAAUUAUUGGGCGUAAAGCGCGCGCAGGCGGUCCCUUUAAGUCUGAUGUGAAAGCCCACGGCUCAACCGUGGAGGGUCAUUGGAAACUGGGGGGACUUGAGUACAGAAGAGAAGAGUGGAAUUCCACGUGUAGCGGUGAAAUGCGUAGAGAUGUGGAGGAACACCAGUGGCGAAGGCGACUCUUUGGUCUGUAACUGACGCUGAGGCGCGAAAGCGUGGGGAGCAAACAGG
rnacentral:rRNA from 1 species